rnacentral:rRNA from 1 species
GACGUAGGAUGCAAGCGUUGUCCGGAUUUAUUGGGCGUAAAGAGUUCGUAGGUGGUUCGUUAAGUCUGAUGUUAAAGAUCGAGGCUCAACCUCGGGAGUGCAUUGGAUACUGGCGGACUGGAGUGUGGUAGAGGCUAGUGGAAUUCCCAGUGUAGCGGUGAAAUGCGUAGAUAUUGGGAAGAACACCGGUGGCGUAGG